AGGUGGUGCAUGGUUGUCGUCAGCUCGUGUCGUGAGAUGUUGGGUUAAGUCCCGCAACGAGCGCAACCCCUACGGUUAGUUGCUAACGGGUAAGGCCGAGCACUUUAGCCGAACUGCCGUUGACAAAACGGAGGAAGCGGGGAUGACGUCAAAUCAUCAUGCCCUUUAUGUCCUGGGCUACACACGUGCUACAAUGGCCUGUACAAAGGGCAGCAAAGGGGCAACCCGGAGCAAAUCCCAAAAAACAGGUCUCAGUUCGGAUUGCAGGCUGCAACUCGCCUGCAUGAAGUCGGAAUCGCUAGUAAUCGCAGGUCAGCAUACUGCGGUCGAAUACGUUCCCGGGCCUU
rnacentral:rRNA from 1 species